rnacentral:rRNA from 1 species
GGAAUAUUGGACAAUGGGCGCAAGCCUGAUCCAGCCAUGCCGCGUGAGUGAUGAAGGCCUUAGGGUUGUAAAGCUCUUUCGCCGGUGAAGAUAAUGACUGUAGCCGGUAAAGAAGCCCCGGCUAACUUCGUGCCAGCAGCCGCGGUAAUACGAAGGGGGCUAGCGUUGUUCGGAAUUACUGGGCGUAAAGCGCACGUAGGCUGACUUUUAAGUCAGGGGUGAAAUCCCGAGGCUCAACCUCGGAACUGCCUUUGAUACUGGAAGUCUUGAGUCCGAGAGAGGUGAGUGGAACUCCGAGUGUAGAGGUGAAAUUCGUAGAUAUUCGGAAGAACACCAGUGGCGAAGGCGGCUCACUGGCUCGGUACUGACGCUGAGGUGCGAAAGCGUGGGGAGCAAACAGGAUUAGAAACCCUGGUAGUCC